CAGGUUUACCUGUGUGACUGCGUACCUUUUGUAUAAUGGGUCAGCGACUUAUAUUCUGUAGCAAGGUUAACCGUAUAGGGGAGCCGGAGGGAAACCGAGUCUUAACCGGGCGUUAAGUUGCAGGGUAUAGACCCGAAACCCGGUGAUCUAGCCAUGGGCAGGUUGAAGGUUGGGUAACACUAACUGGAGGACCGAACCGACUAAUGUUGAAAAAUUAGCGGAUGACCUGUGGCUGGGGGUGAAAGGCCAAUCAAACCGGGAGAUAGCUGGUUCUCCCCGAAAGCUAUUUAGGUAGCGCCUCGUGAAUUCAUCUCCGGGGGUAGAGCACUGUUUCGGCUAGGGGGCCAUCCCGGCUUACCAACCCGAUGCAAACUGCGAAUACCGGAGAAUGUUAUCACGGGAGACACACGGCGGGUGCUAACGUCCGUCGUGAAGAGGGAAACAACCCAGACCGCCAGCUAAGGUCCCAAAGUCAUGGUUAAGUGGGAAACGAUGUGGGAAGGCCCAGACAGCCAGGAUGUUGGCUUAGAAGCAGCCAUCAUUUAAAGAAAGCGUAAUAGCUCACUGGUCGAGUCGGCCUGCGCGGAAGAUGUAACGGGGCUAAACCAU
rnacentral:rRNA from 5 species